AAUGAACGCUGGCGGCGCGCCUAAUACAUGCAAGUCGAGCGAGAAGACGUAGCAAUACGUUUGUAAAGCGGCGAACGGGUGAGGAAUACAUGGGUAACCUACCCUAGAGUGGGGAAUAACUAGCCGAAAGGUUAGCUAAUACCGCGUACGCUCCUUGGACUUCGGUUCAGGGAGGAAAGCGAUACCGAGGGUAUCGCGCUCUUGGAUGGGCUCAUGUCCUAUCAGCUUGUUGGUGAGGUAACGGCUCACCAAGGCUUCGACGGGUAGCUGGUCUGAGAGGACGAUCAGCCACACUGGCACUGCGACACGGGCCAGACUCCUACGGGAGGCAGCAAGUAAGGAAUAUUGCGCAAUGGGCGAAAGCUUGACGCAGCGACGCCGCGGUGGGGGAU
rnacentral:rRNA from 1 species